GGGGCACCUGAUCAGCAUGCCGCGUGAGUGAUGAAGGCCUUAGGGUUGUAAAGCUCUUUCGCACGCGACGAUGAUGACGGUAGCGUGAGAAGAAGCCCCGGCUAACUUCGUGCCAGCAGCCGCGGUAAUACGAAGGGGGCGAGCGUUGUUCGGAAUUACUGGGCGUAAAGGGCGCGUAGGCGGCCCGAUCAGUCAGAUGUGAAAGCCCCGGGCUCAACCUGGGAACUGCAUUUGAUACUGUCGGGCUUGAGUUCCGGAGAGGAUGGUGGAAUUCCCAGUGUAGAGGUGAAAUUCGUAGAUAUUGGGAAGAACACCGGUGGCGAAGGCGGCCAUCUGGACGGACACUGACGCUGAGGCGCGAAAGCGUGGGGAGCAAACAGGAUUAGNNCCCCCNGGUAGA
rnacentral:rRNA from 1 species